rnacentral:lncRNA from 10 species
GUGGAACUCAGCUUUUAUUCCUCAGUUUUCCAGCCUUCCACACUGCUGCAUAAACACAGCAGGUAUUUAUGAGUCUAGCAGCCUAUCCUGAAGGGAAGCUGUGGCAAAGAGGAGGGCAGAGGAGGUAUUUAAAUUACAGAAUUGCAAACAUCUUCAAAUUGAGCGUUAGGUCUCUGGUAGGCACCCCACCUCGCUGUCACCAGAGAUGGUGACAUCACUCUCUCUCUGGACUCUUGGAUCCUCCCAGGAUCCUCUCUCCUCUGCACUCUGCCAUCACUCCUCCUCCCUAUUGUCCUACAGGAUUUUCCCCAAAUUCAAAUUUCUUUCACUCUGUUAAGCAAAGCCCUUUCUAGCUCCUACUCCUAAACUCAGUGGCAUUCGCAUCUCCAAACAUUAGGGAGCUCACCUGAGUGGACAGAGACUGGAUAGGCCUUUGUUUAACAGGACCUGCCCAACAUAGAAG